rnacentral:lncRNA from 1 species
AUAUUUUCCAGAAAAUCAGUUCGAGGAAAGGGAAAGGGUCAAAAACGAAAGCGCAAGAAAUCCCGGUUUAAAUCCUGGAGCGUUCACUGUGAGCCUUGUUCAGAGCGGAGAAAGCAUUUGUUUGUCCAAGAUCCGCAGACGUGUAAAUGUUCCUGCAAAAACACAGACUCGCGUUGCAAGGCGAGGCAGCUUGAGUUAAACGAACGUACUUGCAGAUGUGACAAGCCAAGGCGGUGAGCCAGGCUGCAGGAAGGAGCCUCCCUCAGGGUUUCGGGAACUAGACCUCUCACCGGAAAGACCGAUUAACCAUGUCACCACCACACCACCAUCGUCACCGUCGACAGAACAGUCCUUAAUCCAGAAAGCCUGACAUGAAGGGAGAGGAGACUCUUCGAGGAGCACUUUGGGUCCGGAGGGCGAGACUCCGGCAGACGCAUUCCCGGGCAGGUGACCAAGCACGGUGGUCCCUCGUGGAACUGGAUUCGCCAUUUUCUUAUAUUUGCUGCUAAAUCGCCAAGCCCGGAAGAUUAGGGAGUUUUGUUUCUGGGAUUCCUGUAGACACACCCACCCACAUACACACACAUAUAUAUAUAUAUAUUAUAUAUAUAAAUAAAUAUAUAUGUUUUAUAUAUAAAAUAUAUAUAUAUUCUUUUUUUUUUUAAAUUAACUCUGCUAAUGUUAUUGGUGUCUUCACUGGAUAUGUUUGACUGCUGUGGACUUGAGUUGGGAGGAGGAUGUCCUCACUUGGAUCCCGACAGGGAAGACAAUGGGAUGAAAGACUCCGGUGUGGUCUUUCGUCCUUCUUAGAGAGGCCGAAGUCUGUUUGCCUGCCAGGGAGCACGCAAGGCCAGGGCACGGGGGCACGUUGGCUCACUUCCAGAAACACGACAAACCCAUCCCUGGCCCUGAGUCAAGAGGACAGAGAGACAGAUGACAGAUAAAGAGAUAAAGAUUCUGGUUCCGACCAGACGUUUUUGGGGAGCCUCAGGACAUGGCACUAUUGUGGAUCCCCACUAGAUUCUGCAAGAGCACCCUGCCCCUCUGGGCACUGCCUGGAAGAAUCAGGAGCCUGGCCAUCAAGCUCUCUCCUCCACUUCUGAGGAGCCUAGGAGGCCUCCCACAGGGGUCCUGGCAAAGAGAAGACACAGUGGUGGAAGAAGAGGCCUGGUAAUGGCUCCUCCUCCUCCUCCUGGGAACCCCUCGUCCUCUCCCUACCCCACUUCCUGGGUAUAGCUCAGGAGGACCUUGUGUGAUCAGACCAUUGAAACCACUAAUUCUGUCCCCAGGAGACUUGGCUGUGUGUGUGAGUGGCUUACCCUUCCCCAUUUUCCCU